rnacentral:rRNA from 1 species
ACAUCCAGAGAACUUAGCAGAGAUGCUUUGGUGCCUUCGGGAACUCUGAGACAGGUGCUGCAUGGCUGUCGUCAGCUCGUGUUGUGAAAUGUUGGGUUAAGUCCCGCAACGAGCGCAACCCUUAUCCUUUGUUGCCAGCGGUUCGGCCGGGAACUCAAAGGAGACUGCCGGUGAUAAACCGGAGGAAGGUGGGGAUGACGUCAAGUCAUCAUGGCCCUUACGGCCAGGGCUACACACGUGCUACAAUGGCGCAUACAAAGAGAAGCGACCUCGCGAGAGCAAGCGGACCUCAUAAAGUGCGUCGUAGUCCGGAUUGGAGUCUGCAACUCGACUCCAUGAAGUCGGAAUCGCUAGUAAUCGUAGAUCAGAAUGCUACGGUGAAUACGUUCCCGGGCCUUGUACACACCGCCCGUCACACCAUGGGAGUGGGUUGCAAAAGAAGUAGGUAGCUUAACCUUCGGGAGGGCGCUUACCACUUUGUGAUUCAUGACUGGGGUGAAGUCGUAACAAGGUAAGCGUAGCGAG